rnacentral:rRNA from 1 species
GACGAACGCUGGCGGCGUGCUUAACACAUGCAAGUCGAACGGAAAGGCCCUGCUUUUGUGGGGUACUCGAGUGGCGAACGGGUGAGUAACACGUGAGUAACCUGCCCUUGACUUCGGGAUAACUUCAGGAAACUGGGGCUAAUACCGGAUAGGAAUCCUUGCUGCAUGGUGGGGGUUGGAAAGCUUCGGCGGUUUUGGAUGGACUCGCGGCUUAUCAGCUUGUUGGUGGGGUAGUGGCUUACCAAGGCUUUGACGGGUAGCCGGCCUGAGAGGGCGACCGGCCACAUUGGGACUGAGAUACGGCCCAGACUCCUACGGGAGGCAGCAGUGGGGAAUAUUGCACAAUGGGCGGAAGCCUGAUGCAGCAACGCCGCGUGCGGGAUGACGGCCUUCGGGUUGUAAACCGCGUUCAGCAGGGGCGAAGCUUGUGGUGACGGUACCUGCAGAAGAAGCACCGGCUAACUACGUG